ACCGAAUGAUCCCAACGCUGUCUUGUAAGAUCUGCACACCAAAAAAAAAUAAAUUAAAUCAACCUCUUUGGGGCAAUUCUCUUUAGGCUCUCACAAGCUAGAUGCAAAGACGAGAGUGUUGGACUUGGAGAAAUCAUUCCAUAAGCCAAGAGGCAACUAGACUGCUACAUUAAGAUUGAUAAACAUAUCCGGAAAAGAGCUACAAAAAAUAAUGUCUCAUGUUUCAUUCAUGAUUGCAAAAAAAAUUAAAUGAGAAAAAAGUUAAAUAAUGGCAUAAUGUCGUUUCUUUCAUUUUAUUUUUUGGGGCUGGUGAGAGUCUGGUAGGUUUAUGUAGGUGAAACAAAUGAGAGGAAGGGUUUAGAACCCUCUCUAUCACAGAGAAGACAAGAAGCACACUCGGUGGGCUCCACUGGUCUUAGGAUGAAUCAAUCAAUAUAUCAAGAUAUGAGCAGAUGAGGGUAGUUUUGAUUAAGUGGAAUUUGAAAUUAGAAUGAAGAAGAAAAUUCUUCUACUUGGAACAAACGAGGAUCUUGAUUAAGGUUAAUAGGAAUUGGGGAUUGGGAUGAAGAAAAAAUUACUUUUACCUCGAAUAUUCGAGGAUCAAAGAAGAAAAACACAAUCAACUGUAGCAACGUACUGGAACAGAUAAGGAUGUCAUCGUGUUAUGCUAUGUCAAAUAUUACUCUUAAUUAACAUUAAGAGGAAUUAGAAAUUUAGAUGUAGAAGAAACUUUUUUUACCAGGAACAGACGAGGAUCUUAAUUAAAGUUAAUUGGGGAUUGGCGUGAAGAAGAAAUUAUUUUUACCCGGAACAUGCGAGUUUGAGAGAAGAAAAACGCAAUCACCUAUAAUAGUGCACUACUGGAACAAACAAAGAUCUCAUUGUGUGGUGGGGUGCUAAAGAUUAAAAGAAAUUGGAGAUCGGGAUGAAGAAUAAAUUACUUUUACCUGAAAUAGAUGAGGAUCUCAUCGUGUGGUGCGGUGUCAAAGAUUUAGAGGAAUUGGGGUUCGGGAUGAAGAAGAAAUCAAUUAUACUUGCAAGAAAAUUUAUUUGUCAUGCAAAAGUAGCUGUUUGUUUUGGUCUUGAUUUUCUCCUUGAGAACUCAUUGUUCUAUGGAAGAUGGUGGUGGGAGCUCGUUGGCAUACACAAAACCAGCAAGUGCGCUUGAGUAUCUGUUACCACUUCACCCUCUUCUCUCAAGUCUUCAUCUUCUUCUGGGAGUGGUGUGGCAGAUGGCUCUAGUAGCACAAAGAUGGCAGGUGUUACAGGAUCUCCAUCAAUUGGUUACGGAUCAUUGUACAUGUUUCUCAUAAUGGAUGAGAUACUGAUCCACAUCAACUACAGAAACACAGCUCCAAGGAAAAAGUUACAAAAAAUAAUUUCUCAUAUUUCAUUCAUGACUCCAAAAAAAAAAAAAAAAGAGGCAUAGUGUCAUUUCUUUUCUUUUCUUUUCUUUUGUUUUUUGGGUCAGGUGACGGUUUGAUAGGUUUGUAGAGGUGGAACAAAAUGAGAGGAAUUCAGAAACCCUCUCUGCCACAAAGAAGACAAGAAGCACUCUCGGUGGGCUCCAUAAGAGUAAUAUUGAUUAAGGUUAAUAGGAAUUGGAAAUUGGGAUGAAGAAAAAAUUACUUUUACCUAGGACAUUCGAGGAUCAGAGAAGAAAACCACAAUCAACUAUAGCCACACACUACUAGAACAGAGGAGGAUCUCAUUGUUUGGUGGGGUGCCAAAGACUAAAAGAAAUUGGGGAUUGGGAUGAAGAAUAAAUUACUUUUACCUGGAAUAGACGAGGAUCUCAUUUUGUGGUGCAGUAACUACUACAAAAAACACUUUUCGCGACAAAAUAAGUUUGUUGCGCAAAGUACAAUUUCGUUGCGCAAAACUUCGCGCAUGAUCUGUCGCGCAAAAUUCGUGAAGAAAGGGUUUGCGCGACGAAAAAUAUUUUUCGUCACACAAAGUAUCUAUGAGCAACGAACCUUAACAUCACACAAUGAUACUUUGCGCGACGAAACAUAUUGGUCGCGCAAAGUUUUGCGAGACGAAAAAGUAUUGGUCGCGCAAAACUUUGCAGGACGAAAAAGUAUUGGUUGCGCGACGAAAAAGUAUUGGUAGCGGAAAGGCAAACAAAAUUAUAAAAAAAUAAAAAUAAAAAUCUCGUGUCCCAUUUUUGGUACCUGCCCAAAUUUUUAAAGUUUU
rnacentral:lncRNA from 1 species